AUUGAACGCUGGCGGCAUGCCUUACACAUGCAAGUCGAGCGGUAACGCGGGGCAACCUGGCGACGAGUGGCGAACGGGUGAGUAAUGCAUCGGAACGUGCCUAGUAGUGGGGGAUAGCUCGGCGAAAGCCGGAUUAAUACCGCAUACGACCUACGGGUGAAAGCGGGGGACCGUAAGGCCUCGCGCUGUUGGAGCGGCCGAUGUCAGAUUAGGUUGUUGGUGGGGUAAAGGCCUACCAAGCCGACGAUCUGUAGCUGGUCUGAGAGGACGACCAGCCACACUGGGACUGAGACACGGCCCAGACUCCUACGGGAGGCAGCAGUGGGGAAUUUUGGACAAUGGGGGCAACCCUGAUUCAGCCAUGCCGCGUGCGGGAAGAAGGCCUUCGGGUUGUAAACCGCUUUUGUCAGGGAAGAAACGCUUCGGGCUAAUACCUCGAGGUAAUGACGGUACCUGAAGAAUAAGCACCGGCUAACUACGUGCCAGCCGCCGCGGUAAGAC
rnacentral:rRNA from 1 species